rnacentral:rRNA from 1 species
ACUCCUCGGGUGGGAACCACUGGGAAUCUUCCACAAUGGACGCAAGUCUGAUGGAGCAACGCCGCGUGAGUGAAGAAGGUUUUCGGAUCGUAAAGCUCUGUUGUUGGUGAAGAAGGAUAGGGGUAGUAACUGAUUCUUAUUUGACGGUAAUCAACCAGAAAGUCACGGGUAAAUACGUGCCAGCAGCCGCGGUAAUACGUAGGUGGCAAGCGUUGUCCGGAUUUAUUGGGGGUAAAGCGAACGCAGGCGGGAGAACAAGUCAGCUGUGAAAGCCCUCGGCUUAACCGGGGAAGUGCAGCUGAAACUGUUUUUCUUGAGUGCAGAAGAGGAGAGUGGAACUCCAUGUGUAGCGGUGGAAUGCGUAGAUAUAUGGAAGAACACCAGUGGCGAAGGCGGCUCUCUGGUCUGUAACUGACGCUGAGGUUCGAAAGCAUGGGGAGCGAACAGGAUUAGAUACCCUGGUCCUCCCCGCCCUCCCCGAUUUCUCCCUAUUGGGAGGUUUCCGCCUCUCAGUGCUGCAGCUAACGCAUAAGCAUCCGCCUGGGAGUGACGAC